rnacentral:lncRNA from 10 species
AUGAUGGGUUUGCGACCAUUUGAAGGUUAAGGUUAAGGUUUAAGCUUAAGAAUACUGAGACCCAAGAUGUUAAAAAUAACUUACAAACCUAGUAAAUGGUGGAUCCAGGAUUACAACUGAAGUUGGCUUAACUCCAAAGCUCAUGCUGUGAAGCACCAUGCUGCACUGUCUUUCAGAAGAGCAAAGCUUGCAGGGACCUCUCCUUGAUGGGUCGAAAGGUCUUUUGUACAAAUAAUUUGGGGGGCCCGUGGGAAGAAGAUAUUUGAAUAACGUGCCACAAGUCCAAAUCCACCACCUCUACAGAGCUCUUUGCCUUUGGGCAUGUCUCUUUGCUUCUGAUUCCCAUCACUUUUUCUCUUUUCUUUUACUUUGAUUGACUGUUCCAAUAGCCCUAUCAGCAUUGUGGGACUUAACUGAGUAGCAGAGCCUGGAAACACCUCAUUGCAUCUGAAACCUAGAGAAGACGCUGGAUGUAAGACACAUACUUACAGCAACAGCCACUGACAAGGUGAGCACUCUGAUGGAUACCUGAGUGAAGAAGAGUAUGGAGCGUGUCCAAAUUCAGUGUACGUGUACAUUCUAACUGGUGUGUUGGCUCACCUGUCUUCCUCUCUCUCAUGUUUUUCCUACAAAUAGUUGAUUAUGCUGAUGCCAGAUCAUUCUGAUGAUAAGCAUCUAUUUGGCACAUCCAGUAAACUGAUCCAUCAUAAGGAUAAUUGUAUUCGAAUUAGCAUUCAUAUUUUUUACAUGCUUUUAGGAGGAAAUGGAAAGGAAAGGAAGAAAAAUGAUACUUUCAAGGAAUCACUUAGAGAUAGAGGAAAUAUCAAUAUUUGAGCUCUUCUAACGGUUUGCUCUCUUCAAAUGGAUAGAAAUCCAAUGAAGAGGCUCUGCUCAGCUCAGUAAAGACAGAACACAUCUUAGGCAACCUUUUCAGCCCAAGCUUUGGAUUUUUCCAACCCUCACAAUCAGAAGUGACUGUGGUUGGACUGAGGAGAGCAGGCUCAGAGAAACUCAGGCAAACCUCAAGGAACACUUUCAGCCCAGCUCUCACUCACUGCAUCUCAGCCCAGCUCUCUGGUGUUUUCCUGCAGAUGGGCACAGAAUCAUGUGCCUAGUAGGUUAUCUGGCCAGUUGACAACUGAUCAUGCAGCAAAUGCACGAUUACUGUAGGCCAAUGAACAUUGCUUGCUAAGAUGAGAGAAAUCACUGGAUCAGCUGAGGUCUGAGCCAGUGUGUCACUUCUAUAAAUACUGUUGCGGUUUCCAGGUACAGCACCAGAAGAAACCCAUCUUUGCUUUACAGAGUCUCUAGAUCCUUGUCUUCUCUUCUGUGUCCUCUGAUGGAAGGAAGAGGCUGCCAGCACCAACUACCUUCAAUUGCCAGGGCUGCUGUAACAAAGUACAAUAGAUGUGAUGGCUUAAACAACAGAAAUGUAUUGUCUCACAGUUCUGAAGGCUGGAAGUCCAAGAUCAAGGUUUAGGCACGGUGGCUUCCCUCUGAGGGCUGUGAGGGAAAAAUGUAUUCCAGGCCUCUCUUUGCGGCUUGCAGGCGGCCAUCUUCAUAUUCGCAUUGUGUUCUGUCUAUGUGUGUUUCUCUCUGUCCAAACUUGCUUUUUUUUUUUUUUCUAAUAAGGGCACUAGUUAUAUUGGAUUAGGGACCAGCUUCAUGAUCUCACUUUAACUUAAUUGCCUUUGUAAAGAGCCUAUCUCCAAAUAAGGUCACAUUCUGAGGUUCUGGAGGUUAGGACUUCAACAUAUGGAUUGAGGAGAAACACAAUUCCACCCGUCGCACCGACACUCACAAAAAUGUAUUCUCUUCUCCUCAACACACAGAGCUUAACCCUCCCCAGACUCUCUAGGGUCCACACUCUAUAAGCUCUGGUCUCAAGUAAAUAACCUUAUCAAAAAGGAGGAGGUGUACUUGACAUGGCCCCGCUGUUCCCAUUGCUUUGUGGUCUUCUAGUAUCUCUCACCACAGAGAAUGAUGUUUGGGCUGCCAAGAUCCCCUGAGGCCAAACGACUCAGAGGCAGUCCUGUAACUUCCCCUUCACGUGCCUGGUGGCCUCAUUCCAAGCCUCUCUCAUCACAGAUGCAGGUUCAUCCCUCCUUCCUUUUGAGGAUUGGACUCCAGCUCCCUUCUCCUCUUCCGCUGCCCUGUGAGCAAUCUUUUAAGAUCUCACUCAAUUCAUGUCUUCUGUCACAAGUGCUUCUCACUCACAUCUUCAGAACAGAACAGAACAGAACAGCAUCUUGUUCCAGUUUGUUUUACAUGGUUUGACAAAGGAAGAAGGACAAGCAUUUCCUCUUUCCAUCUGUAAUUUCUCCGUAGCUCGCCUAAGCUGCCACUGACAGCCCAGGUCAAUGCCUUGGUUUCCUGGGGCUGCAAACUUCUCUUCCAGGAAUCCUAGCUUGGAUGCUGCUGCCAGGCAAGGAGAACUGGAAUGGCUUGCUGGCAUGAAUCUUAACCCAUCCCUCU